rnacentral:rRNA from 1 species
UACGUAGGGUGCGAGCGUUAAUCGGAAUUACUGGGCGUAAAGUGUGCGCAGGCGGCCGCGCAAGUCGAGUGUGAAAGCCCCGAGCUUAACUUGGGAAUUGCGCUCGAAACUACGUGGCUGGAGUGCGGCAGAGGAAGGUGGAAUUCCAGGUGUAGCGGUGAAAUGCGUAGAGAUCUGGAGGAACACCGAUGGCGAAGGCAGCCUUCUGGGCCAACACUGACGCUCAUGCACGAAAGCGUGGGGAGCAAACAGG